UACGUAGGGGGCGAGCGUUGUCCGGAAUCAUUGGGCGUAAAGAGCGUGUAGGCGGCUUGGCAAGUCGGGGGUGAAAGUCAGCGGCUCAACCGCUGGACUGCCUUCGAGACUGCCUGGCUUGAGCAUGGUAGAGGCUGGCGGAAUUCCCGGUGUAGCGGUGGAAUGCGUAGAGAUCGGGAAGAACAUCGGUGGCGAAGGCGGCCAGCUGGGCCAUUGCUGACGCUGAGGCGCGACAGCGUGGGGAGCAAACAGG
rnacentral:rRNA from 1 species